rnacentral:ncRNA from 1 species
CUGCCCGGGGAUUAAAAGGGAACCGGGUGUGAAUCCCGGACAGUCCAGCUGCUGUGUAACUCCGUAAGGACCUGAACUUCUUUGCCACUGAUUCCAGGAAUUGGGAAGGCACGGGUCUUGGAGCAAGUCAGAAGACCUGCCGUUCAUUAAA